rnacentral:rRNA from 1 species
CCAGCUCUAAUAGCAUAUAUUAAAGUUGUUGCAGUUAAAAAGCUCGUAGUCGGAUUUUGGGCGCGUGUGAACUGUCAGCCUCUGGUUGGACGGUGCGCGCGUGCCUUUCUGCUUGGGAGCCCCAUGGUGGUUAAUUCUGUCAUGGUGGGUCACAGGCCGUUUACUUUGAAAAAAUUAGAGUGUUCAAAGCAGGCUUUUGCUUGAAUAGAUUAGCAUGGAAUAAUGGAAUAGGACCUUGGUGCUAUUUCGUUGGUUAUGGGACUGGGGUAAUGAUUAAUAGGGACAGUUGGGGCCGUUCAUAUUUCGUUGUCAGAGGUGAAAUUCUUGGAUUUACGAACGAUGAACUUGUGCGAAAGCAUUCGGCAAGGAUGUUUUCA